AUGAACGCUGGCGGCGUGUCUAAGGCAUGCAAGUCGAAUGUUUGUAGCAAUACAGGCAUGGCAAACGGGAGAGUAACACAUUGGCAAUCUACCCCUAAGACGAGGAUAACCUUGCGAAAGCGAGAAUAAUACUCGAUAGUAUCAAUAAACAUAAGUUUGUUGAUUAAAGCUCCGGCGCUUAGGGAGGAGCCUAUGGCCUAUCAGCUAGUUGGUGCGGUAACGGCCCACCAAGGCUACGACGGGUAUGGGGUGCGAGAGCAUGACCCCACUCACUGGGACUGAGACACUGCCCAGACUCCUACGGGAGGCUGCAGUCAAGAAUCUGCCUCAAUGGGCGAAAGCCUGAAGGAGCGAAGCCGCGUGUAUGAAGAAGCCCCUCGGGGUGUAAAGUACUUUUAACUGUGACAAAACAAUGAUGGUAGCAGGUGAAUAAGGGGCUGCUAACCUCGU
rnacentral:rRNA from 1 species